rfam:Salmo salar isolate Sally breed double haploid chromosome ssa26, whole genome shotgun sequence.
UGCACACAUGACUGCAUGUCGCGUUGGAUAAAAGCAUCUGCUAAAUGGAAUAAA